UCAAGUCUUCAACGAUCCACGCAACCAUCACUCUCCUUAUAAGAAGAAGAGCUUGACUGAGACAAAUUUAAACAAAGACAUGUCGUGAAUCAAUAAUGCUUUAAGUGUAAGUGUAUAAUUGGAAAGUCAUCUCAGUCAUGGAGAAGCUUUAAUGUUCACGGUCAAGGAUGGUUUGACGAACAGUAGACUGGUUGCUGAUGAGUGUGAGGGGAGAUGGAGCAGAUUCUGAAGAACAACUAGAAAUUAAGUACGUUUUGAUCGGAUGUGGGAUCGGCCUGUUCUUAGUUGUUGGAUUCAUUCUGAUGAAGGUCUGCAUCAUCAGGAAGCAAGUGAGUGAAACAGAAAAGCGUCAUCAGAGCGCUCCGAGCCGCCUCAGCCAAUCAGAGCGUCCCGUGACGAGGGUGUCCAGUGACUUGCAAUGUUAAAGGUCAGGCAGAGUGAUGUGAACCCUGCAAAGGAGGCAUGUGGGUGAAAGGUCAACCAGGCGGCCCGUUGUCUGCUCACGUUUUGCCACAUAAAUAUCAAAAUAGAACUGUUUUCCUGUUUUUACCUCCUCAAUAUCAUGAAUCAUUAUAGUGUUCAUAAUUCAUGAUCCUCUAUAGAGGAUCUGUAAAAAUGCAUUUUGAUCCGGAUGUGGAGAGUUGUCUUGUUAAAAAAAAUCUUAAUAAAUGAGGUUUAGGCCAUUUAGGAGCCUGAA